UUAAGCGACUAAGCGUACACGGUGGAUGCCCUGGCAGUCAGAGGCGAUGAAGGACGUGCUAAUCUGCGAAAAGCGUCGGUAAGGUGAUAUGAACCGUUACAGCCGGCGAUGUCCGAAUGGGGAAACCCAGUGCAAUUCGUUGCACUAUCGUUAACUGAAUACAUAGGUUAACGAGGCGAACCGGGGGAACUGAAACAUCUAAGUACCCCGAGGAAAAGAAAUCAACCGAGAUUCCCCCAGUAGCGGCGAGCGAACGGGGAGCAGCCCAGAGUCUGAAUCAGCUUGUGUGUUAGUGGAACGGUCUGGAAAGUCCGACGGUACAGGGUGAUAGUCCCGUACACCAAAAUGCACAGGCUGUGAACUCGAAGAGUAGGGCGGGACACGUGGUAUCCUGUCUGAAUAUGGGGGGACCAUCCUCCAAGGCUAAAUACUCCUGACUGACCGAUAGUGAACCAGUACCGUGAGGGAAAGGCGAAAAGAACCCCGGCGAGGGGAGUGAAAAAGAACCUGAAACCGUGUACGUACAAGCAGUGGGAGCACCUUCGGGUGUGACUGCGUACCUUUUGUAUAAUGGGUCAGCGACUUAUAUUCUGUAGCAAGGUUAACCGUAUAGGGGAGCCGCAGGGAAACCGAGUCUUAACUGGGCGUUAAGUUGCAGGGUAUAGACCCGAAACCCGGUGAUCUAGCCAUGGGCAGGUUGAAGGUUGGGUAACACUAACUGGAGGACCGAACCGACUAAUGUUGAAAAAUUAGCGGAUGACUUGUGGCUGGGGGUGAAAGGCCAAUCAAACCGGGAGAUAGCUGGUUCUCCCCGAAAGCUAUUUAGGUAGCGCCUCGUGAACUCAUCUUCGGGGGUAGAGCACUGUUUCGGCUAGGGGGUCAUCCCGACUUACCAACCCGAUGCAAACUACGAAUACCGAAGAAUGUUAUCACGGGAGACACACGGCGGGUGCUAACGUCCGUCGUGAAGAGGGAAACAACCCAGACCGCCAGCUAAGGUCCCAAAGUCAUGGUUAAGUGGGAAACGAUGUGGGAAGGCACAGACAGCCAGGAUGUUGGCUUAGAAGCAGCCAUCAUUUAAAGAAAGCGUAAUAGCUCACUGGUCGAGUCGGCCUGCGCGGAAGAUGUAACGGGGCUAAACCAUGCACCGAAGCUGCGGCAGCGACACUAUGUGUUGUUGGGUAGGGGAGCGUUCUGUAAGCCUGCGAAGGUGUGCUGUGAGGCAUGCUGGAGGUAUCAGAAGUGCGAAUGCUGACAUAAGUAACGAUAAAGCGGGUGAAAAGCCCGCUCGCCGGAAGACCAAGGGUUCCUGUCCAACGUUAAUCGGGGCAGGGUGAGUCGACCCCUAAGGCGAGGCCGAAAGGCGUAGUCGAUGGGAAACAGGUUAAUAUUCCUGUACUUGGUGUUACUGCGAAGGGGGGACGGAGAAGGCUAUGUUAGCCGGGCGACGGUUGUCCCGGUUUAAGCAUGUAGGCUGGUUGUCCAGGCAAAUCCGGAUAAUCAAGGCUGAGGUGUGAUGACGAGGCACUACGGUGCUGAAGUAACAAAUGCCCUGCUUCCAGGAAAAGCCUCUAAGCAUCAGGUAACAUCAAAUCGUACCCCAAACCGACACAGGUGGUCAGGUAGAGAAUACCAAGGCGCUUGAGAGAACUCGGGUGAAGGAACUAGGCAAAAUGGUGCCGUAACUUCGGGAGAAGGCACGCUGGUGUGUAGGUGAAGUCCCUGCGGAUGGAGCUGAGACCAGUCGAAGAUACCAGCUGGCUGCAACUGUUUAUUAAAAACACAGCACUGUGCAAACACGAAAGUGGACGUAUACGGUGUGACGCCUGCCCGGUGCCGGAAGGUUAAUUGAUGGGGUUAUCCGUAAGGAGAAGCUCUUGAUCGAAGCCCCGGUAAACGGCGGCCGUAACUAUAACGGUCCUAAGGUAGCGAAAUUCCUUGUCGGGUAAGUUCCGACCUGCACGAAUGGCGUAAUGAUGGCCAGGCUGUCUCCACCCGAGACUCAGUGAAAUUGAACUCGCUGUGAAGAUGCAGUGUACCCGCGGCAAGACGGAAAGACCCCGUGAACCUUUACUAUAGCUUGACACUGAACAUUGAGCCUUGAUGUGUAGGAUAGGUGGGAGGCUUUGAAGCGUGGACGCCAGUCUGCGUGGAGCCAACCUUGAAAUACCACCCUUUAAUGUUUGAUGUUCUAACGUUGGCCCCUGACCGGGGUUGCGGACAGUGUCUGGUGGGUAGUUUGACUGGGGCGGUCUCCUCCCAAAGCGUAACGGAGGAGCACGAAGGUUAGCUAAUCCUGGUCGGACAUCAGGAGGUUAGUGCAAUGGCAUAAGCUAGCUUGACUGCGAGCGUGACGGCGCGAGCAGGUGCGAAAGCAGGUCAUAGUGAUCCGGUGGUUCUGAAUGGAAGGGCCAUCGCUCAACGGAUAAAAGGUACUCCGGGGAUAACAGGCUGAUACCGCCCAAGAGUUCAUAUCGACGGCGGUGUUUGGCACCUCGAUGUCGGCUCAUCACAUCCUGGGGCUGAAGUAGGUCCCAAGGGUAUGGCUGUUCGCCAUUUAAAGUGGUACGCGAGCUGGGUUUAGAACGUCGUGAGACAGUUCGGUCCCUAUCUGCCGUGGGCGCUGGAGAAUUGAGGGGGGCUGCUCCUAGUACGAGAGGACCGGAGUGGACGCAUCACUGGUGUUCGGGUUGUCAUGCCAAUGGCACUGCCCGGUAGCUAAAUGCGGAAGAGAUAAGUGCUGAAAGCAUCUAAGCACGAAACUUGCCCCGAGAUGAGUUCUCCCUGAGACUUUAAGUCUCCUGAAGGAACGUUAAAGACGAUGACGUUGAUAGGCCGGGUGUGUAAGCGCAGCGAUGCGUUGAGCUAACCGGUACUAAUGAACCGUGAGGCUUAACCUU
rnacentral:rRNA from 2 species